rnacentral:rRNA from 1 species
GACGAACGCUGGCGGCGUGCCUAAUACAUGCAAGUAGAACGCUGAAGGAGGAGCUUGCUUCUCCGGAUGAGUUGCGAACGGGUGAGUAACGCGUAGGUAACCUGCCUGGUAGCGGGGGAUAACUAUUGGAAACGAUAGCUAAUACCGCAUAAGAGUAGAUGUCGCAUGACAUUUGCUUAAAAGGUGCAACUGCACCACUACCAGAUGGACCUGCGUUGUAUUAGCUAGUUGGUGAGGUAACGGCUCACCAAGGCAACGAUACAUAGCCGACCUGAGAGGGUGAGCGGCCACACUGGGACUGAGACACGGCCCAGACUCCUACGGGAGGCAGCAGUAGGGAAUCUUCGGCAAUGGACGGAAGGCUGACCGAGCAACGACGCGUGAGUGAAGAAGGUAUUCGGAUCGUAAAGCUCUGUUGUAAGAGAAGAACGAGUGGGAGAGUGGAAAGUUCAUACUGUGACGGUAUCUUACCAGAAAGGGACGGCUAACUACGUG